rnacentral:rRNA from 1 species
AUUGAACGCUGGCGACAUGCCUUACACAUGCAAGUCGAACGGCAGCACGGGUGCUUGCACCUGGUGGCGAGUGGCGAACGGGUGAGUAAUACAUCGGAACAUGUCCUGUAGUGGGGGAUAGCCCGGCGAAAGCCGGAUUAAUACCGCAUACGAUCUACGGAUGAAAGCGGGGGACCUUCGGGCCUCGCGCCAUAGGGUUGGCCGAUGGCUGAUUAGCUAGUUGGUGGGGUAAAGGCCUACCAAGGCGACGAUCAGUAGCUGGUCUGAGAGGACGACCAGCCACACUGGGACUGAGACACGGCCCAGACUCCUACGGGAGGCAGCAGUGGGGAAUUUUGGACAAUGGGGGAAAGCCUGAUCCAGCAAUGCCGCGUGUGUGAAGAAGGCCUUCGGGUUGUAAAGCACUUUUGUCCGGAAAGAAAUCCUUGGCCCUAAUACGGUCGGGGGAUGACGGUACCGGAAGAAUAAGCACCGGCUAACUACGUG